rnacentral:rRNA from 1 species
GUGGGGAAUCUUCCGCAAUGGACGAAAGUCUGACGGAGCAACGCCGCGUGAGUGAAGACGGCCUUCGGGUUGUAAAGCUCUGUUAUAUGGGACGAACGUGCUUAUGGUCAAUACCCAUGGGCAGUGACGGUACCGUAAGAGAAAGCCACGGCUAACUACGUGCCAGCAGCCGCGGUAAUACGUAGGUGGCAAGCGUUGUCCGGAAUUAUUGGGCGUAAGGGGCGCGCAGGCGGCCUGGUAAGUCAGUCUUAAAAGUGCGGGGCUCAACCCCGUGAUGGGAUUGAAACUGCCGGGCUGGAGUGUCGGAGAGGAAAGCAGAAUUCCUAGUGUAGCGGUGAAAUGCGUAGAUAUUAGGAGGAAUACCAGUGGCGAAAGCGGCUUUCUGGACGACAACUGACGCUGAGGCGCGAAAGCCAGGGGAGCGAACGGGAUUAGAAACCCGUGUAGUCC